GACGAACGCUGGCGGCGUGCCUAAUACAUGCAAGUAGGACGCAGUUGCGAACGGGUGAGUAACGCGUAGGUAACUACCUAUUAGAGGGGGAUAACUAUUGGAAACGAUAGCUAAUACCGCAUACUAGUAGAUGGACCUGCGUUGUAUUAGCUAGUAGGUAGGGGAAUGGCCUACCUAGGCAAAGAUACAUAGCCGGCCUGGAAGGGUGGUCGGCGCAACUGGGAAUGGGACACGGCCCAGAAUCCUAAGGGAGGCAGCCGUAGGGAAUCUUCGGCAAUGGGGGGAAACCUUACCGAGCAACGCCGCGGGAGUGAAGAAGGUUUUCGGAUCGUAAAGCUCUGUUGUUAAGGAAGCGGUACUUAACCAGAAAGGGACGGCUAACUACGUGCCAGCAGCCGCGGUAAUUC
rnacentral:rRNA from 1 species